GGGUGGGGGGAAGCAGCCAUGCUGUAUGCACCGUGGGGACUGCCCCUGGGAUCCCUGAGCUGCACAGAAGAGCUUUUGAGGCACCGGUGGGUUCAGGGAGGCAGCUCUGAAAUAACUGGCUGGGGAACGCUUCAUCAGAAGAUGGACCACAGGGCCACUGAGAAGCCAGCCUUCUGCCAAAUGCUCCUGAUGUCCUACAGACCUCCGUCAUGUGGCUGUAUCUCCAUCUGCCAGCAAGGGGAAGCUCUCCUGCUGGGUAUGUGUUGCCCAGUCCUACGGUGUUUAUCUGGAGAAAGAAGAGAAGAUAAAGGAAGAAGUGCUGCCUGCCCAGCAAGAGCCUGGAUUUACCCUGUGUAAACAAAUUUUGAGCUGUCUUUUGCAGUCAGUCUUACUAGAAGCACUGCAUACUAUUUCCUCCCAAGACAAAUCUAGUAUUUUCAUUGUGCUCCUGGAUAUUAUGCCUCUUCACUGUAUGCACUGUAGUCACCGCUGUAGUCAGCCUGUGUGUAUGAGAAAUGAUUCAGUACCUAUAAUGCAAGAGAUUCUGGCCAGUAGAUGCCUUUUUUUGCACAGCUAGUGCAAUGAGGUCUCCAUUUGAUGGGGAUUUCCAGCAUUUUUAUUGCUUCAAUAAAUAUAAGAGCAACUUCCCCUAAACAACAAUCAGUCACCUUGGUUGCAACGAGCAUCUCCUCUGGCAAAGGCUGAGAUGGUGUCAUGUUAGCAAGGUUUAUCUGAGCAUUUAUCUGAGCCCUGGCCCUGUGUGUGGCUCCUGCUCAGCUCCACAUGUGCCCGAUCAGUCGUACCCAACACAUGAGGUUUUGGAACAGUGGAAACUUUAAUGUCCCAUAUUGUGACUGUAAGACCCAGACCUCACUGGAAGGCAGUGAGAGCCUGCCUUGCAGGGAUCCUGCUCACCAUCUGGAUGCUACAAGCUGGUGACAUGCUGCUACCAAGUGCCUUCUGCCACACGUGGAGCAGCAAAGCGGGCCUCACCUCCUCUCCUCAGGUCCCCUCCUCAGGGUAUCCUCUGCACCCCAGCCCACCCCAUGGUGGUCUGCAGAGAUCUGCUUCACAAGCUGAGGACACGGAUGGUGGGAGAUACAUUGCUGAGCAGCCACUGGAGGUGGCAUGGAGGCAGCAGCUGGGAUGAGAGGAUGGGGAGGAGACGUGCAGGACCUUUGUGGCGAGGUGCUGUGCUGGGGGAACGGCACACAAAGCAGGCACAGAGGGACUGAGUGGCUGUUGGGCUGGGCAGCAACCUUUCAAUAUUGUUCUGAGAUCCUGGCGUGCUCUGGAAAACACUGUGUCAACACAAUGUGUUUGUGUUUCUGGCUUCACCUCCACUGGGGAUGUCUAAAAUUAAGCAACUAUUGACAGGAUGGAGGUUUUGCUAUGUGCUGAAAGACGAGAAGACUGCUCUAAACAAAGCGUAUUCUCUAGCUAGCUGGGAUAAAA